UACGUAGGGGGCAAGCGUUGUCCGGAAUCAUUGGGCGUAAAGCGCGCGUAGGCGGCCCGGUAAGUCCGCUGUAAAAGUCCAGGGCUCAACCCUGGAAAGCCGGUGGAUACUGUCGGGCUCGAGUCCGGAAGAGGCGAGUGGAAUUCCUGGUGUAGCGGUGGAAUGCGCAGAUAUCAGGAAGAACACCUAUGGCGAAGGCAGCUCUCUGGGACGGUACUGACGCUGAGACGCGAAAGCGUGGGGAGCGAACAGG
rnacentral:rRNA from 1 species